rnacentral:lncRNA from 1 species
AGAAGAGCAAACAUCCAAGGUGAAAGAAGUGGAGUUUGACAAACCAAUUAUUUUCUGGCAUUAUGGUGAUCACAGAGAAGAAACUUUCUCCAAGACAUGGAAAGUUCAGGCUGCCAUGACUGUCACACCAGAGCUGACAUAUGGCAAACUUCAGAUCCCAGUGGUCAAGAAAGCAGGCAGAGGACAAAGAAGAGUGCACUGUGGGUUGAAUGAUGGCUUAUCUUUCGUUUAUAUCUUUCUGAGUAUCUUCCUGUUUGAUGAAGCUGCUGCAGUCUCCCAUGUGGGGGUUUCUAUACCAAUAUAUUUAGCCCUUCUCCAGAUCUCUCUACAGUUGGAAUGUUCCCCCCUGGACAUGGCAGCAUGUGUCUUCCUAGCAGCAACACCGUAACAGUGAUGUUUAAUCAGGAAAGAGGUCAGUGACUAAUAAAGAUGAAGAAAUGGUCAGAGAAUGGAAGUGGCCUUGGGAUGGCAAGCUUGCCCAGCCAGUUAUAGCACAGCCAAAGUUGACAGAGCUGUUGAUGAAAAAUGAAGUUCCAGAGGCAACUGUGAGCCACGUAAAUGACAUCAGUGCAGCCAGAGAACUGAGGAAUUUGCAGAGGAAAAUCCGGAGAAUUGUGGAUAACUGGCUGCGGUAUUAUCACACAGCCCUAGGAAUUGACAACAUACACCUUCAGAAAAUGUCUGGCUUUCAUCUGUGGCCCUUAAGGAAGGGCAUCAUUCAGUCUGCAGAUGCUGUCCCAGCUACCUCAGGUUUGCAGAGAUCACAAGGGAAGAGGAAAGAGAAGAGCCAAUCUCCCAAGUAA